UCAAAACCUAAAAGCAGAUCCUUUCCAUCUUCACGUUCCUGCUCUCAUUUCUCUCACCUCCUCCGAGUUCUCUUUCAUUUUGUAAGAAACCCUAAACUGCAAAAUUGUGUCAUUGUAGUAUGAAAAUUAGAUGCUAGAUCUGGAACAGAUUUGGGUUUGCAGAGAGAACAAACUCCCUUUGGAUCCUGCUGUUGUUGCUUCUGCUGUUGAUGCUGUUGAUUAUAUCUCAUCUGAAAAUCUUAAACCCAUUCGGAUCCGGUUGUUAAGUUUAAGAGUCUAAUGGAAGGACUGGAGUCAAAGGACUGGCUAAAGAUUUGCGAUUCGUUGAACGAUGUGAGUCAAAGGACUGGCUAAAGAUUUGUGUCAGAAUGGGUCAUUCGAAGAAGCAGGUCGAACGCUUUCUUGCUUAAAAAGACACAGGUCGAAUGCAUUUUUGAUUAAAAAGAACCGGGUCGGAUGCAUUUUCGCUUAAAAAGAAGCAGCUCGAAUGGCUGGUACUCUUAUCGAAGAACUAAAAAGACUCAUCGAGACUACAUAUGAUAGGAGGCUGAGCUUAAACCUGGUGGAUUUUUUGUUUUGAAAGAAAACCUUGCAAGAUCUGAUGGGAAGAGUACCGGGGAUAUGGACGGGUAUGUCGGCUUUCAGGCUGUUUUAAGGCGAUCUUAAAAUUGUUUGGUAGCAGAUCUCGCAAAACAAUUCAUGCAACUCGUUCGGCACCACUUGGAUUCAGUCACAAGCCCGUAUUCUCAAGUUUGCUAUGAGACCGAUCUCUCAUAUGGGCCAGGCCCAAACUCUACUUUCAGAUACCAUACAUCUGCUACUUCAGCAUACCUCGAGUUAUCAGAUCAAGAAAAAAUACCUCCAGAAAAUAAUAAUAACAAUAGGAUCAGGAAAAGACAUCGGGAAGGCUUUUAAAAUCCGUAGGAGAAGCUUCGAUGACGGUUCCUGAGACACCGUCACCUGAUCAACCGCGUGACGGAAGUUUUGUUAUAAAAAAGGAACAUGGAAACAUCAUUGAAGGUGGAGCGAGAAAACGGCAUCAUAGGAUGCAUAACAAUAACAACCAAGUGUUGAGUAAUGUUAGUCAAAACGGUUCGCAAGCGGGGUCAACUUAUAGUGAGAUAUGCUCAUUGGCUGCACAACAUUUUGGGCGUAUACGUGAAGUUUUAGUCGAACGAAGUGUAACUUCAGCUUUGAAUUCAGGUUUUCUAACCCCAUACCGUGAACGUCUUAUGGUAGCAUUGGGACUGGAAUUAUUUACUGUAAAUGAUGAGAAAUUUAUGGAUAUGUUUGUUGCCCCUGGAGCGAUUGACAUUCUUCAGAAUGAACAACAGUCUCUUCAUAAGCGUCAGAAGAUACUACACUCUUGUUUGACUGAAUUUAAGUCGGUCGCAAGAUCCCUUUGACUGAAUUAAGUCAGUGACAGUGAAGUGGAAGCCAAUUCACUUGAGUUAUACGAGGAACCGUUUUGUGAAGCUGAUAGAUAUGAUUUAUGGUCUGCGUGCAAGUUGAGUACAUGCGUGUGUAUGUUUUUGUCAUAAGCUUUGCUAGAGGAAGCUGAUAGAUGUGAUUUAUGGUCUGCGUGCAAGUUGAGUACAUCAGAUUGCUCCCGGACACAACUCAAGAGACUUUACGGUCAUUGGUGCUGAUGUGUAAUUUUCCCUAACUUGAAUAUUUAUUCUUGUUUUUAAAGCAAAGUUAUAGAUGUUCUCAUUAAAGCUAACAAAUUUGCUUU